rnacentral:tRNA from 1 species
UAGUUUAGUUGGUAAGGCACUCGUCUAGCAUACAAGAGUCGUGGGUUCAAAUCCCAC